GGAGGUUACUGCUAUCGGUGUUCGCCUAACCCAUGCGAGUCAUAUGUUCUUCGUGAACAUGGCGUACUGCUCAGUAACACGUGAAUAACCUGCCCUUGGGACCGGCAUAACCCCGGGAAACUGGGGAUAAUUCCGGAUACCGCAUAUAUGCUGGAAUGCUUUAUGCGUGAAAUGGAUUCGUCUGCCCAAGGAUGGAUCUGCGGCCUAUCAGGUAGUAGUGGGUGUAAUGUACCUACUACCCUACAACGGGUACGGGUUGUGAAAGCAAGAGCCCGGAAAUGGAUUCUGAAACAUGAAUCCAGGCCCUACGGGGCGCACCAGGCGCAAAAACUUUACAAUGCGGGAAACCGUGAUAAGGGGACACCGAGUGCCACCAACAUUUGUUGGCUGUCCAGGUGUGUAAACUACACCUGUUAGCAAGGGCCGGGCAAGACCGGUGC
rnacentral:rRNA from 1 species